rfam:Alkaliphilus metalliredigens QYMF, complete genome.
UUAAAAGUGAAUAUUUUGCCGCAGAAAGUAGGUGCGUUAGCUUAAAUAUCCUACCGAGGCUUUGGAUAAAUUUAUCAAAGAUCUCUUUCUGUGUGACGUUAUUUACGCAGAGAGGGAUCUUUUUCUGUAACG